UUCCCUUUACCUCAUGGUGGGAGGGGCAGGCCCCGGCCUUUGCAGAGAGACAGGACUGAAGCCCCAGUGCUCCCCCUUGAGCUCCUCCUAGUCCCUGGGUCUCCCGGGAGAGGGAUUUUCCUGAGAAGGAGGGUGGAUGCAGGAAUGAGGGAGGCUGGAGGCUAGUUCCGACUCUGUCCCUUAUCCACACAGUGUAGGCACGGACUAGGUCCUCAAUAAAUGUUGGUUGGAUGGAUGGAUGGAUGAAUGGAUGAAUGGAUGAAUGGGCGGGUGGAUGGAUGGAUGGAUGGAUGAAUGAGUGGAUGGAUGAAUGGGUGGAUAGAUGAAUGGGUGGAUGAAUAGGACUUAAUCCCGAGAACACUAAUCUCAGAGGAAAAUUACUGGCUCAUCAUGGUUCUGAGCUCAGAGUCAUCCAGGCCAACUCUACCUCCACUCCCUCCUGGCUGCCCCAAGUCCAAGGCUCUCCAGGGAGAGGGAGUGUCUUAGUUCAGAGACAUUUGAUGUGUCUGUGUUCCAAGACAAGCCACAUGCUGCCUGGCUCCUCUGUGGCUUAUGACCUCCCACAAUGCCUGGCACAAUACGUUGUGCCUAUGACACGUGAGCAAACAGACAUGGAGAAGGAAGCCUGCAGGCUUUAUCAAAAUCCCCGGUGUCCCGGAGUUAGGUGGUCAGGAUGCCAUCGAAUCACAGGAACCGGUAGAUGAUUGUCAUCCGACAGAUGGAGGUGCUGAGGCCCAGGAGACCACCGCUAGGAAGGGAUGGGGAGGCCUGGGCCUGAGCCGGGUCCGCUGGUCCCCAGGUCGCUGCUGUUCAGCCAUGUCCGCUGCCCUCGGGGGCCUCAGGACAAGAGCUGCGCCUUCAGGUGAGGAGAGAAUAGCAGGGCUAGUAUUUCUUGAGCAUUUACUAUAUGCCAGAGUUUCUAGGUGUUAUCUUAUUUAUCCUUCCUGAACCAUCAAGGUGCCACCAGAGAAAUAGAACCAGAAGAGAGAGAGAGAGAGAGAGAGAGAGAGAGAGAGAGAGAGAGAGAGAGAGAGAGAGAGAGAAUAAUCUAUUUGGGCAAAUCUGAAACCUGCGGGCAGGCUGUUAGGAAGGGCAGGUUGGACACUCAAAUGUCUUCUUCCCUAGAGAAACCUCAGUUCUGCUCUGACAGCCUUUCUGCUGAUUGGACCAGGCCCAGCAGGUGACCCAGGACCGUCUCCUGUGCAGCGUCAAGACCGUAGGUGUUAACCACACCUUCGCAGCAACCCCACCUGUGCUGUUUGGUUGAAUGACUGGGCACCAGAGUCCAGCCACGUUGGCACAUUCUGACCUCACGCUGCCCAGAAGCCUCAAAGGCAGCCAGGUAGAGCUAGGACUUUAGCUCUUGCCACAAAAGUACCUGGGAACUCUGAAGAGAGUCAAGUAAGAUUCGCUCAAAGAUCCUUUCAGCUCUGACAGCCCCUGAAUCUGGAGAAGAGUGGACCAAACCGCUGCUUCUCUCCGUUUUCAUGCCUCUCAAAUACCGGCCAACACUUCCCACGUUGUGGAAAAAUGAAGAAGGAAGAGAAAAUGCAAGCACACGCGAGUGCCUGAGCACACUCAGCCUUGUGAUGUCACCUGCCAGCCAGGGAUGCCUGACAGGCAUGUUGUUCUUUGACGAGCGUUAUUUCCUCCCCAAACACGUGUAAGGCGCUAGGACAUUAAUUCUCCCACCAAGAUGUGCAAGCUCCACGGGUCAUCCAAGCCCAGAGGUCAGAGGUCAGAGGUGACGCUUCCGACACUUAAAGAGCAGUCAGCAGUAACGCCGUUGGACAGGACGAGGGCCGGGAGAAGAACCCUCCGUGGGGGAGAGCCGAGGUCACCGUGCUCACACCGCCAGGACCGUGACUUUGCUCAGCUCGCAGAGGCCCCUCCAUCCUCACUCCGCCGCCCGCAGCGGCUCGGAGUCAGGCCUCCGACAGCAGCCAUCUGUGUAAACAAAGUAUUUUUGAGUCUAGGAAAGAGGUUUCUUCUCUGGGCAAGAUUUUUUUUUUUUUUUUUUUACUUGAUUGUCCUCUCACCUCCAACUCCCAUGCUUCAAAGGACAAAAGAAACGUAGCGUCUGAUUCCACCUCUUCCUGAGAAAGCAAAACCGCUGUUGGAUUCCAGGCCUCCCCGAGGGAGAGGACUGUGUCGCCACAGGGUCCCCAUGGGACGGCUUCGGAUGUCAGGCUGUGGAGACAGAGCUCCCGGCUCUCACUGCUUUCUCCUGCCCUCCGGCCUCUGGUCCCUGGGUUCUCUCUCUCUCCAAACCUCACUGACCCAUCUCUAAGCUUCCAUUGGCCCACACGGGAAGGAAGAGAGAGUUCACAGCAUAAAUAUAGGGUGCCCCC